UGUUCUCCAAUAUAAGGCUUUUACAGGGGCACUAGCUGUCAAAUUCAUGUUCACUGAUUUGACUCAAAUUCUCAUAUUGGAUUUAUAACAAUGUACAACAUUUAUCCUAAUUAUAAAAGUCUAAAACAAACAUUUUACAGGACAUGGGCUCAAUAAAAUUUAGCUUCUUUUUGUUUCAUGUGUAUUUUAGUCUAGACGCCAUCUAAUCUAACUAUCGAGUUGACCCCCACCUACCUCCAAUGGUCAUAUAAGCAAUAUAAACAUAAAUAUAGACAUAAAUAGAAUGCCAACUCGUGCAAUUGGAUUUUUCUAAGUCUAUAUUUUUUAAUAUUAUAGAUUAAAAAUAUAUGUUCAUCAUCAUUUUUACCUGUAUAAUAAGGAUUUUUCUGUGAACCAAAUGAGUCAAUCUAAUGAGUUACCUUUGUUUCACUUUCAAUGUUGACAUUCUUUUCC
rnacentral:lncRNA from 1 species